rnacentral:rRNA from 1 species
GACGGAAGGUGCAAGCGUUGUUCGGAUUUACUGGGCGUAAAGGGCGCGUAGGUGGCGUCGCAAGUCGAUGGUGAAAGCUCGCCGCUCAACGGCGAGUCGGCCACCGAUACUGCGAGGCUGGAGCACUGUAGAGGCUAAUGGAAUUCCGGGUGUAGCGGUGGAAUGCGUAGAGAUCCGGAAGAACACCGGUGGCGAAGGCGGUUAGCUGGGCAGUUGCUGACACUGAGGCGCGACAGCGUGGGGAGCAAACAGG